AGACCCGAAACCCGGUGAUCUAGCCAUGGGCAGGUUGAAGGUUGGGUAACACUAACUGGAGGACCGAACCGACUAAUGUUGAAAAAUUAGCGGAUGACCUGUGGCUGGGGGUGAAAGGCCAAUCAAACCGGGAGAUAGCUGGUUCUCCCCGAAAGCUAUUUAGGUAGCGCCUCGUGAAUUCAUCUCCGGGGGUAGAGCACUGUUUCGGCUAGGGGGCCAUCCCGGCUUACCAACCCGAUGCAAACUGCGAAUACCGGAGAAUGUUAUCACGGGAGACACACGGCGGGUGCUAACGUCCGUCGUGAAGAGGGAAACAACCCAGACCGCCAGCUAAGGUCCCAAAGUCAUGGUUAAGUGGGAAACGAUGUGGGAAGGCCCAGACAGCCAGGAUGUUGGCUUAGAAGCAGCCAUCAUUUAAAGAAAGCGUAAUAGCUCACUGGUCGAGUCGGCCUGCGCGGAAGAUGUAACGGGGCUAAACCAUGCACCGAAGCUGCGGCAGCGAACGUAUCACUUAAAGCGAUUCAGCGGGUUACGAUUGACGGAGCGAAGCGACGUCAAAGCGUAUACAAAGUCGAGUCGGUUUAAGGAUACGUUCGUUGGGUAGGGGAGCGUUCUGUAAGCCUGUGAAGGUGGCCUGUGAGGGUUGCUGGAGGUAUCAGAAGUGCGAAUGCUGACAUAAGUAACGAUAAAGCGGGUGAAAAGCCCGCUCGCCGGAAGACCAAGGGUUCCUGUCCAACGUUAAUCGGGGCAGGGUGAGUCGACCCCUAAGGCGAGGCCGAAAGGCGUAGUCGAUGGGAAACGGGUUAAUAUUCCCGUACUUGGUGUUACUGCGAAGGGGGGACGGAGAAGGCUAUGUUGGCCGGGCGACGGUUGUCCCGGUUUAAGCGUGUAGGCUGGUUUUCCAGGCAAAUCCGGAAAAUCAAGGCUGAGGCGUGAUGACGAGGCACUACGGUGCUGAAGCAACAAAUGCCCUGCUUCCAGGAAAAGCCUCUAAGCAUCAGGUAACAUCAAAUCGUACCCCAAACCGACACAGGUGGUCAGGUAGAGAAUACCAAGGCGCUUGAGAGAACUCGGGUGAAGGAACUAGGCAAAAUGGUGCCGUAACUUCGGGAGAAGGCACGCUGACACGUAGGUGAAGUGAUUUACUCAUGGAGCUGAAGUCAGUCGAAGAUACCAGCUGGCUGCAACUGUUUAUUAAAAACACAGCACUGUGCAAACACGAAAGUGGACGUAUACGGUGUGACGCCUGCCCGGUGCCGGAAGGUUAAUUGAUGGGGUCAGCGCAAGCGAAGCUCCUGAUCGAAGCCCCGGUAAACGGCGGCCGUAACUAUAACGGUCCUAAGGUAGCGAAAUUCCUUGUCGGGUAAGUUCCGACCUGCACGAAUGGCGUAAUGAUGGCCAGGCUGUCUCCACCCGAGACUCAGUGAAAUUGAACUCGCUGUGAAGAUGCAGUGUACCCGCGGCAAGACGGAAAGACCCCGUGAACCUUUACUAUAGCUUGACACUGAACAUUGAGCCUUGAUGUGUAGGAUAGGUGGGAGGCUUUGAAGUGUGGACGCCAGUCUGCAUGGAGCCGACCUUGAAAUACCACCCUUUAAUGUUU
rnacentral:rRNA from 1 species